UAAAGUCAAAACCAUAACAGAUACAAACAAAGAUUCAGCUAAAGAAAAGUUUGAUAAUAAAAAAACAGGUGAAAGCUCCACAAAGAGAUUCGAAGAUGGAGGUGCAGCAGUAACCAUCAGAAAAUAUUUUGGUAAUGAG
rnacentral:sRNA from 1 species